GUGCCCCCUAGGCAGCAUGUAUACUAACAUUGGAACCAGACAGAGAAGGUUAGCAUGGCCCCUGCACAAGGAGAGAAAGGACAAGCUGAGUGAGAGAAUCAAUUACU
ensembl:snRNA U6 U6 spliceosomal RNA